AGCGAACGCUGGCGGUAGUCUUAACACAUCCAAUUCAAACCGGCAUAACAAUAUGUCAGUUGCAGACGUGUGAGUAGCGCGUGGUAAUUUCCCUUUUUGUUGGUAAUAACACAGGGUAACUUGUCCUAAUACCUUCUAAGCCUUUCCUGGGAAAAAUUAAUCGCCUAAAGAUCCCACCCCGUCUAAUUACCUAGUGGGUACGGUAACGGCCCAUGAAGGAGACGAUCAGUAGGUGGUCUGAGAGGAUGAUCAGCCACAUUGGGACUGUGACACGGCGCAGACUCCUACGGGAGGGAGCAGUGGGGAAUAUUGGGCCAUGGGCGAAAGCCUGAUACAGCCAUGGAGCGUGAGUGAUUAAGGCCCUAGGGUUGUAAAGAUCUUUUGUGAGGGAAGAAGAUGGAGGUACCGGAAGAAUAAGCCCGGGCUAACUUCGUG
rnacentral:rRNA from 1 species